UACGGAGGGUGCGAGCGUUGUCCGGAAUCACUGGGCGUAAAGGGCGCGUAGGCGGCCUGAUAAGUCGGGGGUGAAAUCCUGCGGCUUAACCGCAGGGCUGCCUUCUAAACUGUCAGGCUUGAGCACAGUAGAGGCAGGUGGAAUUCCCGGUGUAGCGGUGGAAUGCGUAGAGAUUGGGAAGAACAUCAGUGGCGAAGGCGGCCUGCUGGGCUGUUGCUGACGCUGAGGCGCGACAGCGUGGGGAGCAAACAGG
rnacentral:rRNA from 1 species